CGAUCGCGUGACAAAUUUCGCGUCAAUAAUCGGCCGUCGGACGUCAUUAUUGUUUAAUCAGCUGUCAGAGGAUCUAUGAGAAAAAUACGUGAAUCAUUCAUAAGACGCCGUAACGCGAAUUAUUGCUUUCGGGCCUUAAGAAUUUUUUUUUUUGCUUUCCGUCGUCAGGAUCACCGUGGAAAUUUAGUUAACGAAUAAUAUAUUUAAUAUUUCGUUAACUCGAGCCUCUAGCUACACGUCGAGACGCAGCGCGCAAUCUGCAUUCCGAUCAAUUUUCAGACCGGCGGCUUGUUUACGUCUACCUCAGUGGGCUCAGUGGCAAGCACGCACGUGCAGUCGGACCGUGCAAAGGAGAUUAAGCGCGCAGGGACAAAAGUACAAAAAUAAGGUCGGUGGCUGACGAUUUAGUUUCGGCCGCGCACAGUUCAGCCGGAUUUUCAUUUUGUAACGGACAAAAAUAUCAUUGCGCGAAAUAACUCAUUACCGACGUCCCGUUUGGUUGAACGAAGUUCAAGGAGAUGGCAGCAGCAGCAGCAAAAAAAGAAGACAGCUCCUGAGUGUAGUUGGCAAUUGUGUUUACAUCGGCAGUGACGUACAGAGCAAACGGAUUAAAGAGACAUUGGACAGGAUCGUCGCUUCAAACGAAAUGGUACCGGUGGAAGCAACAUGGAAGCGAGAGAGAGAGAGCCGACAGUGUAACAAUAAAGGAUGCGAAUACCGAGAACUGUUUAUUUAACGUUCUCAGGGCACUUUUACGUUUCUCGCGAUUCCACGACGGUUCGCACCGUGAAUUUCAUGGAAAUAAUCAUAACUUCUCUUUUUUCUGACAGUUUUCUCAGGCGCGCCGCCAGAUGGCCAAAAGCAUCGCGAGAACGUCUUACCGCUGGUUUUCAAUACACGUUUUACCUUGACUGGCAGCAGCUUCUCUGCUUCCGCUUAUUAAACUUUCCCAUCUGACGUAAUAAUAACGAGAACAAACGAGCGAGGUCCAAGACGAUAUAUGACGACGGAACGAUGACGAUCGAUGGUACAAAGUCAAUAGUUACGACAGCUUCGAUGCGAGUACAACAGGACAUACAGUGCUACCAAUUCAAUCCGUAAUGGAGACUGAAAGAAAAGUCUGCGACUGAAGUUUCCGUCGUGUUAGUACGUUCGGAGCCGCCGCGUGGCGCUGGUGUCGCUCGAUAUCGAACCUACGUAAACGGGCGGGCAAGUUUAAUUGCCGGUAACGUUUGCUCGGCUGUUUACGUGGCGUGGCUAACAAGAAACGUCCGACGGCGAAUCUCAACGCGAUCUACGUCGGGUCUGCGAGUGCCAUUGAAAAAGCAUAAAUCUCAUUAACGGCUACGAGUUAAAGGUCACUGACGAACCGCCACUACGAUGCUCUUGGUCUUAUCCAACGGACGAAUGGACCGCACCGGUCGUAUUCGUUCUGCCGUGAAAAGGAGCCGAAACGGUGCGAGGCAAGGAGGAGAAGAAAAAAAAGUAGAAAAUAAAAUAACUACGGGGGCACGCGUCUGCUUUCUAUCUCUUGUGAACUCGCCCGUGCAAGGAAUCCCACGACAAUGCUUGUAUACUUAUAUACAGGACUGUACCUAUAUAGUUAGGUAUAUAUACCAACAGACAAUAACGUCAAUCAUGAUUAAUCAAUCAUUAAAAAAAAAAAGUGAAGUCAUUCAAAAAAAAAUUGAUCAUCUAAUUCGUGUGCCA